UACGAAGGGGGCAAGCGUUAUUCGGAAUUAUUGGGCGUAAAGGGUUCGUAGGUGGAAAUACAAGUCAUAUGUGAAAAAGCAGAGCUUAACUUUGUUCGUGCAUAUGAGACUGUAUUUCUUGAGUUAUGGAGAGGGUAGUGGAAUUGCUGGUGUAGGAGUGACAUCCGUAGAGAUCAGCAGGAACAUCAGAGGCGAAGGCGACUACCUGGCCAAGGACUGACACUGAGGAACGAAAGCGUGGGGAUCAAACAGG
rnacentral:rRNA from 1 species